UUGAGUUAUUCUUUUCUCUUGUUCCCUUUUUUACUUUCCGCUUCCAUGGACCAUGUGUUCUUUGCCAUCGAAGGUCGAAGCAACGAGAAUUUAAUGUCAUUAUGUCUGAUAAAGAAGAACCUAGCUUUGGUUAUCAUCAGGUAUAAUGCCUUUUCCUUUAGGGAGAAGAAUUUCAGCAAGCGAUGAAAUAAUGAAUUUAGGUCUUACUCAAGACAGUUCGUCCAAGACGAAUUGAAGAAACUAAAUUUUGUCACUAUUGAUACCCUAGGACGAUGGACGGGUGGGUACUAGGUCUCUUGAGGGAUUAAGAGAGAAUCAAAAAAUGUUCCCCACCGAAUUAAAGCAACGUUGACAGCAGUCAUCAAGAGGUAUCUCUGCAUGAAUGGCAAAUUCCUUACUGCAGGAACCUUGCUUUGGAUAUAAUCAGAAAUAAUAAUGGCUUUUCAUUUAGGGAGAUCAAUUUCAGCAAACAUUGAAAUAAUGAACUGAGGUUUUACUGAAGACAGUUCGUCCAAGAUGAAUUGAAGAAUCUAAAUUUUGACACUAUAGAUACCCUAAGAUGAUGGACAUGGGUAAUAGGUCUCCGGAGGGAUUAAGACGGAAUCAAAAAUUGUUCCCGACCGAACCAAAGUAACGUUGGCAGCGGUCAUCUGAAUGAAUGGCAAAUUCCUUACUGCAGGAACCUUGCUACCUCACCAACUUGAAUUAGAAACAAGCACAAAUGGUAUUCACAAGAAAAACAUUGGGAAGAAUUCUACAAUCGAUCCAUUCGAAAUAUGUCGUACACAGCUUUCAUGGAAAUAAUUUGAAUUAUCUGCUUGAAAUUUGGCACGAAUAUCAAUUGCCCAAAUUCGAAGAGCCUCGAAGAAAAUGAUAAACCAUUUGAAUGUUUAUAAUUAAAAGCUUACAAUUA